rnacentral:rRNA from 1 species
UACAGAGGGUGCGAGCGUUAAUCGGAAUUACUGGGCGUAAAGCGCACGUAGUCGGCUUUGCAAGUCGGUUGUGAAAUCCCCGGGCUCAACCUGGGAACUGCAUCCGAGACCGCAUUGCUAGAGUAUGGGAGAGGAAAGCGGAAUUUCUGGUGUAGCAGUGAAAUGCGUAGAUAUCAGAAGGAACAUCAGUGGCGAAGGCGGCUUUCUGGACCAAUACUGACGAUCAGGUGCGAAAGCGUGGGGAGCAAACAGG